AAGAACUCCUCCUCGCGAGCAGCCUCCAUUUUGCCAAAUGAACCGCCCGCCUCCCGGAUGGAUCCGCCGCCGCCGCCGCCGUUGCCGGCUCCACUGCCCAGUUCUCCGAUCUGCGACAUCUUCAAGUGCCUGCAAAGCGAUUCGAAAACGGUUCUAGAAUCUUACGCAACUGCUCUCCAAAUCGCGAAACCUACUGAAUCUGCUUGGGAUACCAGCGCUGACUGAAUCGUCGCAGUGUAAACAUGUUUGCCUCUAUCGGUUUAUCGGUUUAUAUAGUAUAGUUAAGCUAUAUAUAAGGGAUGAGUAGCCGCUGAAAUUUCGAUUUCGACGACUUGCGAAAACAAACUGGUGAACAUUGGACAAUAGCGCUGCUAAAAAUACUGAGUGGGCACGGAAAUAGAAACACAUUCACUAAAUAGGGGCUAAAGAACUUUAGUUUUAAUCAACUGGGAUGACCCAAUGGAUUUUUAAUUACUUCCUUAAU
ensembl:ncRNA asRNA:CR44168 antisense RNA:CR44168